GAAACUCCCUUAUUGAAGAAUAGUGCUCUUAUUAGCGGCUACAGCAUGGAGAAGUCCAACAGAUUUUCUACGUAUCAUCCUUAGUAACUGAAAACUCCUAUAUACUUCUCAUAUCUUCUCUUUCAAUGAAAGCCCUCUUAUGAUUUGGUUGCCAAUUUCUAUGGAAACUAGAUUUGGAUGUACUAUAUGCUUAUCAAUAUGCUAUUGAUUUUCAUACAGGUUUAUCUUACAAUUAAUUUUUUGUGCUUGAUCGAAUUUCGGGCAUGGAUAGCACUGAAGGAUUAUUUCUCAAGAAGACAGAAGAUGGUGAUAAAUCUCAAAUAUAUAGAUCCGACAUAUAUGAUCCGGGCUAUUCCAAGCAACGCAUCAGAUCAGAUAACAUAUGUUGCACGCUCCUUGCUAAGAGUGUUGUUCAUGGUGCUAUGGCUGGAUGCACA